AUAAUGGGUCAGCGACUUAUAUUCUGUAGCAAGGUUAACCGAAUAGGGGAGCCGAAGGGAAACCGAGUCUUAACUGGGCGUUAAGUUGCAGGGUAUAGACCCGAAACCCGGUGAUCUAGCCAUGGGCAGGUUGAAGGUUGGGUAACACUAACUGGAGGACCGAACCGACUAAUGUUGAAAAAUUAGCGGAUGACUUGUGGCUGGGGGUGAAAGGCCAAUCAAACCGGGAGAUAGCUGGUUCUCCCCGAAAGCUAUUUAGGUAGCGCCUCGUGAAUUCAUCUCCGGGGGUAGAGCACUGUUUCGGCAAGGGGGUCAUCCCGACUUACCAACCCGAUGCAAACUGCGAAUACCGGAGAAUGUUAUCACGGGAGACACACGGCGGGUGCUAACGUCCGUCGUGAAGAGGGAAACAACCCAGACCGCCAGCUAAGGUCCCAAAGUCAUGGUUAAGUGGGAAACGAUGUGGGAAGGCCCAGACAGCCAGGAUGUUGGCUUAGAAGCAGCCAUCAUUUAAAGAAAGCGUAAUAGCUCACUGGUCGAGUCGGCCUGCGCGGAAGAUGUAACGGGGCUAAACCAUGCACCGAAGCUGCGGCAGCGACACUAUGUGUUGUUGGGUAGGGGAGCGUUCUGUAAGCCUGUGAAGGUGUACUGUGAGGUAUGCUGGAGGUAUCAGAAGUGCGAAUGCUGACAUAAGUAACGAUAAAGCGGGUGAAAAGCCCGCUCGCCGGAAGACCAAGGGUUCCUGUCCAACGUUAAUCGGGGCAGGGUGAGUCGACCCCUAAGGCGAGGCCGAAAGGCGUAGUCGAUGGGAAACAGGUUAAUAUUCCUGUACUUGGUGUUACUGCGAAGGGGGGACGGAGAAGGCUAUGUUGGCCGGGCGACGGUUGUCCCGGUUUAAGCGUGUAGGCUGGUUUUCCAGGCAAAUCCGGAAAAUCAAGGCUGAGGCGUGAUGACGAGGCACUACGGUGCUGAAGCAACAAAUGCCCUGCUUCCAGGAAAAGCCUCUAAGCAUCAGGUAACAUCAAAUCGUACCCCAAACCGACACAGGUGGUCAGGUAGAGAAUACCAAGGCGCUUGAGAGAACUCGGGUGAAGGAACUAGGCAAAAUGGUGCCGUAACUUCGGGAGAAGGCACGCUGAUAUGUAGGUGAAG
rnacentral:rRNA from 1 species